rnacentral:misc_RNA from 1 species
GAUGAAGAACGUUGCGAAAUGCGAUACGUAAUGUGAAUUGCAGAAUUCAGUGAAUCAUCGAAUCUUUGAACGCACAUUGCGCCCGCCAGCACUCUGGCGGGCAUGCCUGUUCGAGCGUCAUUUCAACCAUCAAGCCCCAGGCUUGCGUUGGAGCCCUGCGGCUGCCGCAGCCUCCUAAAAGCAGUGGCGGGCUCGCUAUCACACCGAGUGCAGUAGAUUACUCUUCGCUCAGGGCGUGCAGCGGGUUCCGGCCGUGAAACCCCCUACUUUUAAAGGUUGACCUCGGAUCAGGUAGGAAUACCCGCUGAACUUAAGCAUAUCAAUAAGCGGAGGA